rnacentral:ncRNA from 1 species
AAGUGAAUUUAAAUUCAUGUGUAUAUGUUAACUGGGUGCUGGUGGGUUGACGAUUUCGUCUUGUUGAUCUGUUGGCAUGAUUUCGGAUGCCUUUAAACGGGUGUCGAAAGCGGAUGGCAUCUGUACUUUGAACAAAUUUGAGUGCUUAAAGUAGGUCUAUGCACCUGAAAAUUUCUGCAUGGAGUAAUAAAAUAGGACUUCGGUUCUAUUUUGUUGGUUUUUGAAUUCGAAGGACAGACCGGGGCAUUUGUAUGGCGGUGUUAGAGGUGAAAUUCUGGAAUCGACGCCAGACAAACUACAGCGAAAGCAUUUGCCAAUAAUGUUUUAAUUGAUCAGGAGCGAACGUCGUAGUUCUGAAUACGAUCAAAUACCGUCGUAUUUCUGACCGUAAACGAUGCCGACUGAAAAUCCGCGUUGAUUCUAUAGUUGAAAUCGCUAGCAGUCCACGGUAAAUCUUUAAGUCUUUGGGCU